AUGAAUAAGUCUGUGGUUUGCUAUGGGGGUUCCAUGUCAGAUAAAGAUUCUUCCGACGUCCGCCCCUUCCUACACCACCAGGGUGUAGGCACACUGCCUCAGCGCAUAAAAGACGGGAGACUGUUGGAUGCUUCAGAACGCCACGAAGGACCAGGACAAGACAGAAAAGACCCUGACAGCUUGAACAUGAGCAACCUUCCCAUCAUGUACCUUCUCCUGCUUCUUCUUGGAUUCCAAGCGCCUCAGGCACAGGGGCGGCCCUUUACAACUUACCAGCUGAACCAAUACUUGGCAAAGAUUGAUGAAAUUAUGAAGAUCUUAAACAAGUUACCCUUGCCUUCACAGGACCCCUUGGACCCAAAUGAGACAGAGAUCCUGAGGGUAAGCACUCAGCCCACACUUGGGUGCACUUGGAUCCCAAUCUACUUCCUCCAGGGUGACCUCGGGCAUGUCACACCAUCUUGCCUAGCCUCCGUUUUUCAUCUGUAAAUAGGAUUAACAGUAUCUAUCUCAGUGGAUCAUUGUGAGAAUUAAGUGGGACAAAUGCAUAGAGUCACCAGACCAGUGUCUGGUGCUAACUAGUGUUGAAUACAUUUCCUCAGCCAUAUCUAUAACAUGAAAAUGCCUUUUUUUAAACAAAUACAAAUGAAAAGGCAGCUCUAGGUGAACAAUUCCAAAGGCCUUAAGUUCAUCAUUUUUCAGUGGAGCAGCCUAAAAUUUCCCCCAUGAACAUGCCUGCUUUCUUCCUUUUCCUUAAGACACUGAGUCGUUUUUCAUGCUGAUUGGUCCUUGGCAUUAUCACUUACAAUUACUUUUCCUACUUCCAGUUGGCUUCCAUGGUUAUCUCACCUUUGUUUGCAUGGCGCUCCUCGGGUCCAACAAGAGGUUGAAUCUCUCCCGAGUUUAUUGGCCAUUUGUAUCCCCCUCUUUAAGGCAUGCACAGUUAACAGGCUGCACCCAUGUCCUGCUGGGGUCUCUGCAAUUUUCCUUCUAAUUUCUAGGAGCCCUUUAUCCAGUCAAGGCAUUAAUUCUAUUAUCUGGCCUCUUAGCUGCAAAUAUUCCCCUUGGUCAGCCCUUCACCUUUUGUAGAUAUUCUUUUAAGCAAUGCUUCCCCCACCCAGGUGCAGAAAGAUUCACCCAGGCCCUGUAUGCAGCUUACCUGGAACCAGGGAAGGUCAGGGCUAAGAAAAGUUGGCUUUCUUUGGGGUGUGCACUCACCUGUAGACCUGUGCCCUGAAGAUUAUCUCAGGAACUCAACUGGGCAAGAACGGGACUAGGAGGGGAUUGUCCAAGGAUGUCCCUGAAGGCAGUCUUGGAAAACUGGGGAUGACUUCAGCCAUGGGAAGGCUGAACCCCAACCUUCUCCCCUCAUACGUAUUCUUGGUCCCCUUAGGAAAACACCCUUCUGAGGCCAAACCUGGAUGCAUUCUUAAAAGCUGCAGAAAAUUUCCAUGAAGAUGGACUGCUAAUCUGGAAAAAUCUUAAGGUGGGUGAAGCUGUUGAGAGCUUUGGGGAUCCCUGCUUUGGCCCUGACCAGCCUCUGGGAAGCGGGGUAGCAGGACCUGCUCCUUUUUCAGGUGAGACCCUGACUGUACGCUUUGGUCUCUUCCCACAGGAAUUCCUGCCACUCCUGCCCACUCCCACACCCAGGGUAAGCUGCCCCUCGAGAUGCCCCUGCAGGUGGUACUCUUAGCCAUGACCUGACCUCUAGCCUGUCACCUACCUUCUAACCUAAUGCCACUUUCCUGGUUUCUUCACAGGGAGACCCAAUCCAUAUCGAGGAGGAUAACUGGGUUGAUUUCCAAUGGAAACUGACUAAAUAUCUGGAAAUCCUUGAUAACUUUCUGAAUUUCAAGGAGAAACAGUGAGUCCUAGAAUUCUCCAUCUGAUACCCCUCCUUCUCUGGGCCUUCUCACCAUGGGGCCUUGGACAUCAAACACAGCAGAACAGCUGAAGAUUCUGGGAUAUCUCUCACAUAGUCCAGAACUGGAGGGAUUUCACUUUCUCCUGUGGAGUCAGAUGAAUUGUUAAUUAUCUGAUUUCUGAAAUGUGCUGCCCCCAUUUGGCCUUUAGUGAUUAUAGUCUCAUUUUUAUCCUAUUGAAUGUAUUUAUUUAUGUAUUUUUAUUUAUUACCUUGUGCAAUGUGAAAUGUAUUUAUUUUAGCAAAGGAGCCUACGUCCUGCUCAUUCUAAACAAGACUCAAGAGGGGGACUUGGAGGCUUGUUAAUUUGUACCUCAGGUUUUAAACUGGUUUCUAUGCAUCUGAGAAAAUAAACCACACUCUCUGAACA
ensembl:lncRNA